rnacentral:rRNA from 1 species
CAGCAGUGGGGAAUAUUGCACAAUGGGCGCAAGCCUGAUGCAGCAACGCCGCGUGCGGGAUGACGGCCUUCGGGUUGUAAACCGCUUUCGCCUGUGACGAAGCGUGAGUGACGGUAAUGGGUAAAGAAGCACCGGCUAACUACGUG